UACGGAGGGUGCAAGCGUUAUCCGGAUUCACUGGGUUUAAAGGGUGCGUAGGUGGGCAGGUAAGUCAGUGGUGAAAUCUUUGGGCUUAACCCGAAAACUGCCAUUGAUACUAUUUGUCUUGAAUAUUGUGGAGGUCAGCGGAAUAUGUCAUGUAGCGGUGAAAUGCUUAGAUAUGACAUAGAACACCAAUUGCGAAGGCAGCUGGCUACACAUAUAUUGACACUGAUGCACGAAAGCGUGGGGAUCAAACGGG
rnacentral:rRNA from 1 species